UACAGAGGUGGCAAGCGUUGUUCGGAAUUACUGGGCGUAAAGGGCGCGUAGGCGGUCUUGCAAGUCCUGUGUGAAAUCCCUCGGCUCGACUGAGGAACUGCACAGGAAACUGCUUGGCUUGAGUUCGGGAGAGGGAAGCGGAAUUCCGGGUGUAGCGGUGAAAUGCGUAGAUAUCGGAAGGAACAUCAGUGGCGAAAGCGGCUUCCUGGACCAGCACCGACGUUCAGGCACGAAAGCGUGGGGAGCAAACAGG
rnacentral:rRNA from 1 species